AGGAAAAUAACUACUAGAAGGAGUCUAAAUCAUCGAUAUUGAAAUUGAUGUAAUGGUGAAAAUCUGAGCUACAAGAAUAUGUCUGCUUCAAAAUUGAUCAAUGAUUUAUGACUGAGGAGUACUUGUUGGAUUGUUUGGUCGAAUAAAUACUUUAUUGGUCUGAGGCUCUUUACGUUUUGAAGAUUGGACCAUGAGGAAGGAGAAAAGUGAAGCAUUGUGAGUGUUCUAGUCGGUCAACGAUAAGUUGACCGAUCUCUUUAGAUCGGAUUUUGGGCAAGACAAUGACAUUAAAAUGACAAGUCUUUCAUAGACUUAUCGUUUGGAGUUUAAUAGCGAGGUGGGGGAAGCCGGUUUGAGGGAUAAUUAGCAAAAAGAAAAAUAAAGGUGUUAUUUUUAUUUUUAGAUCUUUCAAUUGAAAAAAAAUUGAGCGAUUUAAUUGGGGACAUUGAGGGUGGAUUGGGAAUGAUAGGGUGGUGAAUAUUGCAGGGUGAAUUUUUGGGUGGUUUGGUGAAGGUUUUCCUCUUAAAGGAUAUUUCUGGUCGGCGGACUUGGGUGGAAAAUGGGGAAAGAAAAAGGAGAGAUGGGCUGCUAGUGUUUGGGUUCAAACAGAGAAAAUUAGGAUUAUGAAAAUGGGCAGAGG
rnacentral:lncRNA from 1 species